UUUGCUGUGAUGAGCUGUUAACAUGUAAGAAGAGUUCUCAUAUAGAGUUUCUUCUGUGAAAUACACUUGUUACGCUUGGCUUCUGAGCUCA